AGAUUUAUCUUUUCCUCCAUAGCUGCUAUACGACAGGCCAGCAGUAUAAUCUAUUCGAUAUAAAUAUCCUCUAUCGGGAAAGCAGUCUCGAUGAACUUCGUGUAGAACCGAUGAAAAGCACGCCUAUGAAAAAGAAAUAUUAGAAAUGAAAUGAAAUAAUGUAUUAUGAUGAAGAUAUCAUAAUAAUAAUAAGAAAGAAUAAUAUGAUAUACAUACCCGACAGCUUCGGCAACGGGCCUCGUGGAUUCUUGGCCAAUGAACACGUGGCAAGCGAACCUUUGCAAGGUGACUCUUGUGAAUUUCCGACGAUUCUUCGAACCGCUUGACAAACAACACCAGUGCCUUUGUGUGCCAACGUCUCUACGGAACCCAAAUAACCUAAAAGGUAUCGUUCCCUUUUUACUUUUGGUGCCGAUGGAUCAAAAUCACUGUAAUCCAUGUCGACUGCAUAAGCCGAGGGGAAGAUACCUUGUCGACCUGUUCUCAGGUUCACACCUUCAAUGCAAUAAGUACAUAAGAAAAAUAGGUCAUCGGCCUCUUUUUGAACGUAAAUAGGAUCGCCAAUUUCAAGAUCGAUCUCAUCGUGGUGUCUUGGCACGAAUUUGUGUAAUCCUCGAUGCGUUGCCUCCAAUAGUUCCAGUUGAGUAAACGGUACACCGCCGCUUCCUUCGAAGCGACAUUGAGAGCAUUAUGAUGAAAAUUAUAAUGAAAAAUUUAAGUUUGCCAAAAAACGAGAAAAAGUCACCUGGUGUACUACUCGGCGAAACAGAAUCCGUGUUCUGUAAUGUGUUACAAGGUAUCGGCGAUACACUUUUUGGCCCAUUUUCUGGCGAGUGAGCAGUAGAAUGGCCACUGUC